rnacentral:rRNA from 1 species
UACGGAGGGUGCGAGCGUUGUCCGGAAUCACUGGGCGUAAAGGGCGCGUAGGCGGCCUGAUAAGUAGGGGGUGAAAUCCUGCGGCUUAACCGCAGGGCUGCCUUCUAAACUGUCAGGCUAGAGCACGGUAGAGGCAGAUGGAAUUCCCGGUGUAGCGGUGGAAUGCGUAGAGAUCGGGAAGAACAUCAGUGGCGAAGGCGGUCUGCUGGGCCGUUGCUGACGCUGAGGCGCGACAGCGGUGGGGAGCAAACAGG